AUUAAACGCUGGCGGCAUGCCUUACACAUGCAAGUCGAACGGCAGCACGGGGGCAACCCUGGUGGCGAGUGGCGGACGGGUGAGUAAAGCAUCGGAACGUAUCCUGGAGUGGGGGAUAACGUAGCGAAAGUUACGCUAAUACCGCGUAUUCUGUGAGCAGGAAAGCAGGGGAUCGCAAGACCUUGCGCUCUGGGAGCGGCCGAUGUCGGAUUAGCUAGUUGGUGGGGUAAAGGCCUACCAAGGCGACGAUCCGUAGCGGGUCUGAGAGGAUGAUCCGCCACACUGGGACUGAGACACGGCCCAGACUCCUACGGGAGGCAGCAGUGGGGAAUUUUGGACAAUGGGCGCAAGCCUGAUCCAGCCAUGCCGCGUGAGUGAAGAAGGCCUUUGGGUUGUAAAAGGCUCUUUUCGGCGGGGAAGAAAUUGCACGGGUUAAUACCCUGUGUAGAUGACGGUACCCGAAUAAGAAGCACCGGCUAACUACGUGCCAGCAGCCGCGGUAA
rnacentral:rRNA from 1 species